GAAAUGCGAUAAGUAGUGUGAAUUGCAGAAUUCAGUGAAUCAUCGAAUCUUUGAACGCACAUUGCGCCCUUUGGUAUUCCUUAGGGCAUGCCUGUUCGAGCGUCAUUUAAACCUUCAAGCUCAGCUUGGUGAUGGGUGACUGUCCUCCCCUCGCGGGGGGACUCGCCUCAAAAACAUUGGCGGCCGGUACAUUGGCUUCGAGCGCAGCAGAAACGCGGUCUCGAGUCCUGUGGAUCGGCUCCCAUGAACCUCUUCUUUUAUUUUGACCUCGGAUCAGGUAGGGAUACCCGCUGAACUUAAGC
rnacentral:misc_RNA from 1 species